rnacentral:lncRNA from 1 species
CAUAUUCUACAUACAUCACCAACUCCCACGGCAAUUUUAGGAUAAGGGAACCAUAUUCAUCUCAAACUGGGGAACAAAACUCAUAACAGUAGCACUUUCCCUUAACAGGAGCAAAAUGUGACAAGGCAAAGUUUUCACCAACACGAUCAUAAGUUAUCAACUUAAAAGUGCUGUAAACACAAAGGAACCAUCCUCCUUCAACAUCUAAAGGCCCGACAUACUGUCUAUUCCAUGCAACGGCAAUCUAAGACCUGGGCUUCUCCUUCUUUUCCUUGAAGAGGGCAAGCAGAGACACACCAGACACCUUGACGACCUUGAACCGAACACCGGGAAUAUCUCCCACAGCAUGUCCCUUACGACCGAAUCCAGCAAUCA